rnacentral:rRNA from 1 species
AGUGAACGCUGGCGGUAGGCCUAACACAUGCAAGUCGAACGGCAGCACAGUAAGAGCUUGCUCUUACGGGUGGCGAGUGGCGGACGGGUGAGGAAUACAUCGGAAUCUACUUUUUCGUGGGGGAUAACGUAGGGAAACUUACGCUAAUACCGCAUACGAUCUACGGGUGAAAGCAUGGGAUCUUCGGACCUUGCGCGAAUGAAUGAGCCGAUGUUGGAUUAGUUAGUUGGCGGGGUAAAGGCCCACCAAGGCGACGAUCCGUAGCUGGUCUGAGAGGAUGGUCAGCCACACUGGAACGGAGACACGGUCCAGACUCCUACGGUAGGCAGCAGUGGGGAAUAUUGGACAAUGGGCGCGAGCCUGAUCCAGCCAUACCGCGUGGGUGAAGAAGGCCUUCGGGUUGUAAAGCCCUUUUGUUGGGAAAGAAAAGCAGCAGGUUAAUACCCCGCUGUUCUGACGGUACCCAAAGAAUAAGCACCGGCUAACUUCGUG